GGGUGAGAUCAUACCUGCACUAAUGCAACGGAUCCCAUCAGAACUCCGCAGUUAACCGUGCUUCGGCAAGAGUAGUACUAUGUUGGGUGACCACUUUGGAAGUGUCCUCGUGUUUCUUCUC
rnacentral:rRNA from 1 species